rnacentral:rRNA from 1 species
UACGAAGGGGGCUAGCGUUGCUCGGAAUUACUGGGCGUAAAGCGCACGUAGGCGGCUUGUCGCGUCGGAUGUGAAAGCCCGGGGCUUAACUCCGGGUCUGCAUUCGAUACGGGCAGGCUAGAGUUCGGUAGGGGAGAUCGGAAUCCCUGGUGUAGCGGUGAAAUGCGCAGAUAUCAGGAGGAACACCGGUGGCGAAGGCGGAUCUCUGGGCCGAUACUGACGCUGAGGAGCGAAAGCGUGGGGAGCGAACAGG